UACGGAGGGUGCGAGCGUUUGUCCGGAAUCACUGGGCGUAAAGGGCGCGUAGGCGGCGCGGGAAGUCAUCGGUGAAAGUUCAGGGCUCAACUCUGAAUCGGCCGGUGAUACUCUCGUGCUCGAGCACUGUAGAGGCAGGUGGAAUUCCGGGGUGUAGCGGUGGAAUGCGUAGAGAUCCGGGAAGAACACCGGUGGCGAAGGCGGCCUGCUGGGCAGUAGCUGACGCUGAUGCGCGACAGCGUGGGGGAGCAAACAGG
rnacentral:rRNA from 1 species